rnacentral:rRNA from 1 species
GGAAAGUAGGGGACCGCGCGCGCGUGAAGACGUAGGAGGCGGGCGUGAUCCGGAUUCACAGUGCGUAAAGGGCUUGCAGGCGGCUCGUGAAGUUGGGCGUGAAAUAUCCUGGCUUAACUAGGAGAGGUCGUUCAAUACUACCGGGCUUGAGAGUGGUAGAGGAAGAUGGAAUUCCAGGUGUAGUGGUGAAAUGCGUAGAUAUCUGGAGGAACACCAGUGGCGAAAGCGAUCUUCUGGACCAUUUCUGACGCUCAGACGCGAAAGCUAGGGUAGUAAACGGGAUUAGAUACCCUGGUAGUC